rnacentral:rRNA from 1 species
UGGGGAAUCUUGGACAAUGGGGGCAACCCUGAUCCAGCCAUGCCGCGUGAGCGAAGAAGGCCUUAGGGUUGUAAAGCUCUUUCACCGGUGAAGAUAAUGACGGUAGCCGGAGAACAAACCCCGGCUAACUCCGUGCCAGCUGCCGCGGUAAUACGGAGGGGGUUAGCGUUGUUCGGAAUUACUGGGCGUAAAGCGCGCGUAGGCGGAUUAGAAAGUUAGAGGUGAAAUCCCGGGGCUCAACCCCGGAACUGCCUUUAAAACUCCUAGUCUUGAGUUCGAGAGAGGUGAGUGGAAUUCCGAGUGUAGAGGUGAAAUUCGUAGAUAUUCGGAGGAACACCAGUGGCGAAGGCGGCUCACUGGCUCGAUACUGACGCUGAGGUGCGAAAGUGUGGGGAGCAAACAGGAUUAGAUACC